rnacentral:sRNA from 1 species
AAGUAAUUAACAACUAUUUUCCCUUUGGCAUCUUUUAUUUUUAAUCCAAAUUUAUAGUUAAAUUUUUAAAAACAUUUUUAUUUUUUCAUGUACUAAAAAACAAAGAUGUGGAGCUGAUAUUGUAGGACGCAGGCCGAGCUUCUCCAUGGCCAGAACACGCUACAGGGCUUUGGGCUUCUUUUGAUUGGAAGAUCUGCCUUAUAUUCUCAAACCGAGAAAAGGAUACACAAGAAGGAUCAGCUGCGAAUCGGACCAGGCUUGAAUCUUUGGCGUCGUCACCGGAUGUAGCUGCAGCUCCAACCGAUGAAGCUGCCAGGGAAAUACCAGAGGAAACUGAAGGAAGCGAGAUUUCUGCAACAUUAAAGGAUAUGCUUGGCAUCCGUCGGCUCUGCUUCUUUUGUCAGCAACAGCGUCAUACUUUUAAGGAAGAUGUGACCCGCCUUCGACCUCUAACUUGUGGUCGUAGUUUCCCCCUAUCGUAUGCCUUUCCAAUCGCAUCGAGCCAGCGAUAUUGGCAGCUCUCCUGGUGCCGGCGUUGCAGUCGCUUGCCCUGUAGAGCAAGUGUCCUUUGAACGGCAAUGGACGUCUUGACGGCGAAAAAAUGCUCAAUAUCGAGCACUUGGUUAUCGCCAAGAUAGGCCCCACAGUCGAGCAGUAGCCCUAAUCUGGAUCGGGCACCUCUUGGCACACCUUGCAGAGCAUCUAUACAUUAGUUUCCAGCAACCAAAAGGAAAAUCUUCCCAGAAUUUAAUCCUGGUCCUUGCAUUUGGGAACUAAAGGAUUGACAUUA